AUUGAACGCUGGCGGCAGGCCUAACACAUGCAAGUCGAACGGUAACAGAAAGCAGCUUGCUGCUUUGCUGACGAGUGGCGGACGGGUGAGUAAUGUCUGGGAAACUGCCUGAUGGAGGGGGAUAACUACUGGAAACGGUAGCUAAUACCGCAUAACGUCGCAAGACCAAAGAGGGGGACCUUCGGGCCUCUUGCCAUCGGAUGUGCCCAGAUGGGAUUAGCUUGUUGGUGGGGUAACGGCUCACCAAGGCGACGAUCCCUAGCUGGUCUGAGAGGAUGACCAGCCACACUGGAACUGAGACACGGUCCAGACUCCUACGGGAGGCAGCAGUGGGGAAUAUUGCACAAUGGGCGCAAGCCUGUUGCAGCCAUGCCGCGUGUAUGAAGAAGGCCUUCGGGUUGUAAAGUACUUUCAGCGGGGAGGAAGGGAGUAAAGUUAAUACCUUUGCUCAUUGACGUUACCCGCAGAAGAAGCACCGGCUAACUCCGU
rnacentral:rRNA from 1 species